GGGAAUGUGGCUUAGUGGUAGAGUACUUGCCUAGCAUGCAUGAAGCACUGGGUUCAAUUCCUCAGUACCA
rnacentral:tRNA from 1 species